rnacentral:rRNA from 1 species
AUGAUGGAUUUGGUGGAGGAGAAGAACUCCCUCAAGGACGAAAAGAGGAGCCCUGUGUACAGAAAACUUGUGAUGCUGCUUUGUCAAGUGCUUGUGUGGUUGUUUCGAUUUGACCUAGAAGACCGCUGCUUCGCUCCUCCGGGCCGUAUAGCACUAAUUGGACUGCGGUGGUCUGAUGACACCUUCCCUUGUCCAUGGAGGAUCCUCAAUAGGCAAGAUCAUAUGCCACCGCUGAUCCGAAGCUCAUGCCAGGGGAAGGGAUUCUGUUAUUGCCUUCUAUGUGGGUGGCGUAGACCACUGUGUGCCUCCUCUUCCAUGGACGCAGCAGCUGCUCCGACCCCGCUGCCGACACCAUGGAGAUCGUCAAGAUUGCAUUCCUCGGGAAGAUACUCCUUUCGUCCAUCAAACCUACCGGACAUGAUGGAAAAUCUCCAUCGCGCGCGACACCGGUCAUUUUCUCUUGCCAAGCGGUGCUGCAGAAGUUGA